rnacentral:rRNA from 1 species
UACGUAGGGUGCAAGCGUUGUCCGGAAUUAUUGGGCGUAAAGAGCUCGUAGGCGGUCUGUCGCGUCUGCUGUGAAAACUCAGGGCUUAACCCUGAGCUUGCAGUGGGUACGGGCAGACUAGAGUGCGGUAGGGGAGACUGGAAUUCCUGGUGUAGCGGUGAAAUGCGCAGAUAUCAGGAGGAACACCGGUGGCGAAGGCGGGUCUCUGGGCCGUAAACUGACGCUGGAGGAGCGGAAAGCAUGGGGAGCGAACAGG